UCUUGAUGGGUCAGCAGUAAAGAAUCUGCCUGCAAUGCAGGAGACCCAGGUUCUAUCCCUGGAUCAAGAA
rnacentral:tRNA from 1 species